UACGUAGGGUGCGAGCGUUAAUCGGAAUUACUGGGCGUAAAGCGUGCGUAGGCGGUUCGUUAAGUUCGUUGUGAAAGCCCCGGGCUCAACCUGGGAAUGGCAAUGGAAACUGGCGGGCUGGAGUAUGGCAGAGGGGGGUGGAAUUCCGCGUGUAGCAGUGAAAUGCGUAGAGAUGCGGAGGAACACCGAUGGCGAAGGCAGCCCCCUGGGCCAAUACUGACGCUCAGGCACGAAAGCUAGGGGAGCAAACAGG
rnacentral:rRNA from 1 species